CCAAACCCAAUCCCCUUGAGUUGAUCAUGGCUCAAAUCACGCUGGCGGCGUGCCUAACACAUGCAAGUCGAGCGAGAAAGGGGCUUCGGCCCUGAGUAAAGCGGCGCACGGGUGAGUAACACGUGGGUAAUCUGCCCUAGAGUGGGGAAUAACAUCGGGAAACCGAUGCUAAUACCGCAUACGCUCAUGAGAUCUUCGGAUUUUGUGACGAAAGGAGCAAUCCGCUCUUGGAGGAGCCCGCGGCUGAUUAGCUAGUUGGUAAGGUAAUGGCUUACCAAGGCUACGAUCAGUAUCCGGUCUGAGAGGACGGUCGGACACACUGGAACUGAGACACGGUCCAGACUCCUACGGGAGGCAGCAGUGGGGAAUUUUUGGCAAUGGGGGAAACCCUGACCAAGCAACGCCGCGUGGAUGAUGAAGUAUCUUGGUACGUAAAAUCCUUUCGACGGGGAAGAAAACCGCAAGGUUUGACGGUACCCGUAGAAGAAGCCCCGGCUAACUCCGUGCCAGCAGCCGCGGUAAUACGGGGGGGCAAGCGUUGUUCGGAAUUACUGGGCGUAAAGGGCGCGUAGGCGGUUUGUUAAGUUGGAUGUGAAAACUGUGGGCUCAACCUACAGCCUGCAUCCAAUACUGACAGGCUAGAGUUCUGGAGGGGAUAGCGGAAUUCCUGGUGUAGCGGUGAAAUGCGUAGAUAUCAGGAGGAACACCGGUGGCGAAGGCGGCUAUCUGGACAGAGUCUGACGCUGAUGCGCGAAAGCUAGGGGAGCAA
rnacentral:rRNA from 1 species